rnacentral:rRNA from 1 species
UACGUAGGGAGCAAGCGUUAUCCGGAUUUAUUGGGUGUAAAGGGUGCGUAGACGGGAAAACAAGUUAGUUGCGAAAUCCCUCGGCUUAACUGAGGAACUGCAACUAAAACUAUUUUUCUUGAGUGCUGGAGAGGAAAGUGGAAUUCCUAGUGUAGCGGUGAAAUGCGUAGAUAUUAGGAGGAACACCAGUGGCGAAGGCGACUUUCUGGACAGUAACUGACGUUGAGGCACGAAAGUGUGGGGAGCAAACAGG